rnacentral:rRNA from 1 species
CUACUCCUACGGGAGGCAGCAGUAGGGAAUCUUCCGCAAUGGACGAAAGUCUGACGGAGCAACGCCGCGUGAGUGAUGAAGGUUUUCGGAUCGUAAAGCUCUGUUGUUAGGGAAGAACAAGUACCGUUCGAAUAGGGCGGUACCUUGACGGUACCUAACCAGAAAGCCACGGCUAACUACGUGCCAGCAGCCGCGGUAAUAA